rnacentral:lncRNA from 1 species
UCGAUAUUCACAUGUCAAGCAAACAUGCUGGUUGCAGUUUCAUUACCCAUUUUCUUGGUUCAAAUAGAUCUCUAAAUGAGAGACCAUAAAUUUCAGGAAAAGAAAUUCGAAGCCAGCUUAAGAUCUGUCCUCAUUGAAUAUUCUUUAUUUUUCAGAACUCAGAUUUCUGUUUCUGACGGGGAAAACUGUAAGCAAGAUAGUGGAUCAAUUGUUGGAUUUGGGGAAAAGUAUGCUAAAG